rnacentral:rRNA from 1 species
UCGAACGAGAAAGUCCCGCAAGGGGAUGAGUACAGUGGCGCACGGGUGAGUAACACGUGACUAACCUACCUUGGAGUGGGGGGUAACCUCGGGAAACCGGGGCUAAUACCGCAUAACAUCCUGAGGCUGCAAUGCCUUUGGAUCAAAGGAGCAAUUCGCUCUUAGAGGGGGUCGCGGCCGAUUAGUUAGUUGGCGGGGUAAUGGCCCACCAAGACUGUGAUCGGUAGCCGGCCUGAGAGGGCGCACGGCCACACUGGAACUGAAACACGGUCCAGACUCCUACGGGAGGCAGCAGUGGGGAAUUUUGCGCAAUGGGGGAAACCCUGACGCAGCAACGCCGCGUGGAGGAUGAAGUCCUUUGGGACGUAAACUCCUUUCGACCGGGACGAUAAUAACGGUACCGGAAGAAGAAGCCCCGGCUAACUUCGUGCCAGCAGCCGCGGUAAUACGAGGGGGGCGAGCGUUGUUCGGAAUUAUUGGGCGUAA